UUUAGUAGAACAGGUAAUUCUAGUCACACUACUUUGCUCGUCCAUAGUGUUUCUUUUUCCCCGCUCGUUGAUUACAUUAUAUAUUUCCCUAUUUCGACCACUUACCACGCAGAGUAUUUAAUUUUGUUCAAAUGCAUUACAUGUAUGAUGCGCUGAAUAAAUUCUCACGUAAUACUAGCAAGGGUCGAAACUCGUGAUGAACUAGUACAUAAUCUUGGAAAAUGACAUUCUUCACCUCGAGCAGACAUCCCAUUGGAUCGUCGCGUUCACGCAUGGAUUUUUCCGCUUGACUGUCUAUGACUGGGACAUUAUACUUUUGACGAAAGUUUAGUUUAAAGAUGUAUUUUCCACGUUGGAUCGAAGGAUUCAUUGAUAUCCAAUGAUUUGCAAGGACCUGCUCGAGUCAUUGAUUUUAUGGACGAUAAAUGACGAUCUCCAGCAAAAUUGGACUGUCUCUUACCCAAUUAAAAACUCUUAGUUUGUGCCACAACCAGCCAAAAUUAUUGCGGGACUUCGCAGCUUCAGCUGCAGGCACAUGUGAAAUUGUCCAAGUGGAUUCAAAAUACCGAAAGAUGCAGCAAUCCAUAGUUUGAAUGACGAUCAUGGAGUAACACAUGAUAGAAAUUAUCUAACAGGCAGAGACUGACUAAGUUAUGUCUAACAGUUCCAAUUUUAACAACACGGCACCUGAAGUGGUGUGCCAUCAGACAGAAAAUGAUAAAGAACUUCUUCAAUAACAGGAAGCAAAACCCUUGCAACCAGCUUGAAAAUGUUCACGAAAGAAAUAGAAAAAGAAUAAGAGGAAGAAAAAGAGGGAUGCACAGACAUCGCAAAGAAUCAACACCACACAACUACAGCGCACGACAUCGAUCCACUCCAACGCGCUAAACAUUACCAUAACAAAACUGACCACACCACACCACACCAAAUCGUCCUCCAAAGUCGGGGCUCGUACAAAACCCACAUCCCAAAAACGCC
rnacentral:lncRNA from 1 species